rnacentral:tRNA from 1 species
ACAAAAGAGUUACUUUGAUAGAGUAAAUAAUAGAGGCUUAAAUCCUCUUAUUUCUA